rnacentral:rRNA from 1 species
AUUGAACGCUGGCGGCAGGCUUAACACAUGCAAGUCGAGCGAGCGGCGGACGGGUGAGUAAUGUCUGAGAAACUGCCUGAUGGAGGGGGAUAACUACUGGAAACGGUAGCUAAUACCGCAUACCAUCAGAUGUGCCCAAAUGGGAUUAGAUAGUACGUGGGGUAAUGGCUAACUUAGGCGACGAUCCCUAGCUGGUCUGAGAGGAUGACCAGCCACACUGGAAAUGAGACACGGUCCAGACUCCUCCGGUAGGCAGCAGUUGGGAAUAUUGCACCAUGCGCGCAAGCCGUAUGCAGCCAUGCCGCGUGUGUGAAGAAGGCCUUCGGAUUGUAAAGCACUUUCAGCGAGGAGGCGUUACUCGCAGAAGAAGCACCGGCUAACUCCGUGCCAGCCGCCGCGGUAAUAC